rnacentral:piRNA from 1 species
UUGUUGUCGUUGUCCUUUUGAGACGGGGU